rnacentral:rRNA from 1 species
AUUGCACAAUGGGCGAAAGCCUGAUGCAGCAACGCCGCGUGAGUGAUGAAGGCCUUCGGGUUGUAAAACUCUGUCUUCUGGGCCGAUAAUGACGGUACCAGCGGAGGAAGCCACGGCUAACUACGUGCCAGCAGCAGCGGUAAUACGAAGGUGGCAAGCGUUGUCCGGCUUUACUGGGCGUAAAGGAUGCGUAGGCGGAUACUUACUUCAGAUGUGAACAUCCCGGGCUUAACUUGGGAACUGCAUUUGAAACUGGGUAUCUAGAGUGCGGGAGAGGAAAGUGGAGUUCCUAGUGUAGCGGUGAAAAGCGUAGAGAUUAGGAAGAACACCAGUGGCGAAGGCGACUUUCUGGACCGUAACUGACGCUGCGGCAGGAAAGCGUGGGGAGCAAACA